rnacentral:rRNA from 1 species
GACAGAGGGUGCAAACGUUGCUCGGAAUCACUGGGCGUAAAGGGCGCGUAGGCGGGGAUGUAAGUCGGGCGUGAAAAUCCCCAGGCUCAACCUGGGAACUGCACUCGAAACUGCGUUUCUUGAGUAUCGGAGAGGAAAGCGGAAUUCCUGGUGUAGAGGUGAAAUUCGUAGAUAUCAGGAGGAACACCAGUGGCGAAGGCGGCUUUCUGGACGGUAACUGACG